UAGUCCACGCCGUAAACGGUGGGCGCUAGUUGUGCGAACCUUCCACGGUUUGUGCGACGCAGCUAACGCAUUAAGCGCCCCGCCUGGGGAGUACGAUCGCAAGAUUAAAACUCAAAGGAAUUGACGGGGCCCCGCACAAGCAGCGGAGCAUGCGGCUUAAUUCGACGCAACGCGAAGAACCUUACCAAGGCUUGACAUAUACAGGAAUAUGGCAGAGAUGUCAUAGCCGCAAGGUCUGUAUACAGGUGGUGCAUGGUUGUCGUCAGCUCGUGCCGUGAGAUGUUGGGUUAAGUCCCGCAACGAGCGCAACCCUCGUUCUGUGUUGCCAGCAUUAAGUUGGGGACUCACAGGAGACUGCCGGGGUUAACUCGGAGGAAGGUGGGGAUGACGUCAAAUCAUCAUGCCCCUUAUGUCUUGGGCUGCACGCAUGCUACAAUGGCUGGUACAAACGGCUGCGAUACCGCAAGGUGGAGCGAAUCCGAUAAAGCCAGUCUCAGUUCGGAUUGGGGUCUGCAACUCGACCCCAUGAAGUCGGAGUUGCUAGUAAUCGUAGAUCAGCAACGCUACGGUGAAUACGUUCCCGGGGCUUGUACACACCGCCCGUCACAUCACGAAAGUCGG
rnacentral:rRNA from 1 species